CUUGAUUGACAUCCGGGACCUAGAUUGCGCAGGAUGUUCGAUGUGUAUCAUUUCACUAGAAAUAUGACGUAACACUGACUACAUAACUGUGUCUUUCAUGAAUGUUCUGGAGACUUCGGUUUUAUUCUAAAUACACUGUGGAAGCCCUGGUAGACACAUACUUCAGGAAUUGGUGAUUAGAUGCAUAUUCGGAUAUGUAAAUAUGGGGACUUACAUGAAUUUGAUUGGAAUUAACAAUCGACUUGUGACAUUUUCUGUGUGUAAUUGUAGAUGACAUCAAGAAUGUUUGCAAGCGUCGAUGGUGUCCAUCGUCUUCGCUGUUUGCAAAACUCUACGAACGUUUCUGGAGCGAAUGUUUUUGCAGCAGCUGCCGACAUGUACUCCACUUUGAAACCUUUUUUCAAUAACAAGGUACAGAGCCAUCUAUCCUCUCCUGUAAUGAAUGAAUAAUUUGACAUUGCUUAAUGCAUAUCAUUUCGUAUACGAAUAUUUCAUUCCUUAUGAUAUAUAGAUGCAUCUACUGAUUUGAAACAUACAUA